CUCAACAAGGUGUAUGGUUUGUUGCCUAAAAUUCUAGUACUACUAUUUUUUGGUCAAAAAGCCAGCGCGGUUAGUUCUCCCUCCGUUUUUAAAAAAUUUCCCAAAUCUUUUCCCUCUUUUAGUUCCAUUAAGCCUCUAGGUUUUCCCUUUUCAACCGUUCGGCUGAACAACCCUCUUCUCUGGUGCAGUUCCUAGCAUCAAUCCUUCAGUUCAGGCUUGGAUAUAUGCCUUAUUGGUUGUAUCUUCAAGUGUCUUGUGUAUUUCUGCAGGGAUGUAUCCAUUUGGGCGAAUCAACUUUAGAAUGUCACUGCUCAUGUUCAGGUUGCUAAUGUUGAAUAAGCAAA